CCUUUAUUAUAAUUACAUAAACGUGGUUGUGUAUUUUCUAUAGUUUGUAUUGUAUUACAUUUUUUACCAAUUGUUUGUUAGCAAGGUUUAUUCUUUUUUUAUAAUGAACAAAUUAUACGAAAGUGCUUUAUUUUAUCCCAAAUCAGUUUAACAAAAUCAAAAGAAAUGCAAUUGUUGGCAAAUUUUAUUUGGUUUUCAGUUGACAAUUCAGAUAUGAAAUAUUGCAUUUCAACAGCAGGGAGCAGUGUGUAACUAGAAGAUUUCUAUGGUAUUGCUGAAGGUAAUGAAGAAUAUAGCAAAAGAAAUGUAAAAAUACAAAAAAUUAAAUAAUACAAAUUGUGACAUGCGGAUGCCAGUUUCGAGCUACAGAAACCCAUUAUUAAUUAUAAUUUUGUUUAGCAAGCAUAGAGAUUACAAUUGCCAACAUGCAGGCAAAAUUAUUAUUGUGCUACAUCUUAUUAUUGACUUAUUCAUAUUGUACUGCUAAAUACACAAUUCUAUUUAGGUGACAAAACAUACGUGUGGAUUAAUGUUCGUAAUGAAUAUACAGUUAAUAAAUAUUGUGCUGCUUUAGAGUUAUUUGAACAAUAGAAAGGUGGAUAUGUGUACGUACAGUAAACAAGUUAUCAUAACUAAAUUUAGGGACAUUAUUUAAAGAUCAUAAUAGAUGUGUAUUCACUAUAUCAUGCACUGUGGUAGGUUACUAGCUGACAAUGCAAAAAAAUAAGACAAAUAUGGCACAAGACCUGCAAGUCAUAUGUUCAGGGAACAUAUACAAUUUUAGAAAAAGCAACGCUUAUGUAAAUAAAAUAGUUAUAUAAUUAGACACUAUUGCGUAAACAUACACCAGUUCUUGGGUCCACAAGCUAUUUGAAAGUAUGUACUCACUAAUAUAUAAUAUAAAGAAUCAAAGCUCUAAAUGGCACAAACUUUUAGUUGAAGAGACACUGCAAGUGGAAAAAUACAUUACUCAUUUUGAAUGUAUAAUACAUAUAAAUCAUUAAAAUAAGCAAGCAUAAUAAGAAAAAAAAACUAGAAAAAGAAAUAGCUUAAAGGGUCACUCCAAACAUCAAGUACCACAGCUCGCCGGUGCUCCCUGGUGGUUCGGUGACACGCUUACGACUUCUGCGGCUCUGAAUGGCUGUCACCAGUUAUUGGCUGAGAGUGUCAGCUGACACUUCUCAGUCCGUGGCUAAAAUUCAGAGCAACAAAAGCUUGUCAAUGAUCCCUCAAUUGUUACAUUUACAGCAGCAGAGUGUUAAACUCUAUAUGUGCAGCAUUUCAAAGCAGAAUGCUGCACAUAGAGACUCCAAGCACCAUGGCCUCUACAAAUCAGUGAAGUGGUAAUAGUGCUUAAAUAACCCAUUAAAGUCCCUAAAACAUGAGCUUUUACACAGGCAAGUGUUUGCCCCUGGCAGGACCAUCUUAGACCAGCGAUAGGCUCCAUCAGUCAGUAACCUUUCAGUUUACUCUAUGGAUCUUUAUUAGUCCAUUAGCCCGUGCCUAGCAUACGUUUAUGGGAUACGUAGUACAUCUCUCAUUUGUAGUUCCACCUAUCAAAUACAAUGAGUGAAACUGCUGAAUGAGCCAACAGAAAUCAGUGGCUGCUCAGUUUGAAGAUCAUGUGUGUCUAUUUACUAUAAUAGAAUAGAAUAAUAAUAUACCUGUUUUUGUUUAAACUUUUUAUUUUAUUUAGCCUAUUUUAACUUGUUGUUUUAUCCAUGCCAAUCUUAAAGCACUUUUCAAGGUCACGUGCAUUCUAAUAAAAAGACCAUCUCCAACAAUUGUAAAAACAAGCACAAAUAUAGUAACUUGUCACCUCCCUAAGUUAUCCCAGACGUUCAAACCAUUAUUUCCCUCUAUAAUAUGCAAGUGCUAUGGAAAAUAAUAUGAUUUCUUUGCUAUUAUGAGAAGUACUGUAGAUUACAAAAGACCACUUUCUAUUGUCCCUUUUCACGUCCGUUUUACUUUUCAGCUACUCUAAUUACUUGUAUUUAUUUUCCGCUGUAUACAUUCAUUCUUUAACUACCUCACAUCUUUUACAAAUCCUCAAUAUCACCAUUUAAAUUUUUCCUUUUUGCUGUAAUUUUCACACUUCUGAUAUGUUUAUAAACCCCAACACACAGAGUAAGACCUCAGUAAAUGGACAUGUUUCUGCAGAGGCGGCUCUCUAAUUAGGCGAUUUAGGCGGCUGCCUAAGGCCACGUAUAGUCUGGGGCCUCGCGGCCGCCUAAAUCGCCAUAGGGCAGGCUGACAUGUCAGGUCUUCGGUCUAUGACUGAGGGCCUGCACAGGAGGGGGCCCGGUGGGUUGCUUAUAAUGCCGCAGGGUGCAAAGUCAGUCUGCUCGGGAGAGAACCAGCCUUCAGUCUGCAGCUCUGUCGGGUGUCUCGCGAUCGAGGCCAAUCAGAGCAUUGCCGUGGAUUACCACGGCAAUGCUCUGACUGGAGAUCGCAAGAGUUACCACGUGGUGUGCAGCUCUGUACCUGGCGGAGCUGCAGACUAGAUAGGGAGCCUACAGGACCACCAGAGAUACAGCCUACCCACUGGACCACCAGGGAAUCAAUUUAAAAAAGGUAUUUAUGACUCCCUACCCUGUCAUAGUCUCAGCUCCCCCACCACUUCCUUCCUUGUCACACA
rnacentral:lncRNA from 1 species